UUAUGUCAUACAUACUCUACAAAGCUAUAGUCUUCUAUAACUAUUUUUGAAGAGACCUCAGAUAGUCACCUCUUCACAUGGUGUGGUUUAAGUAAACCAGAUUGAUAUCCUUUUCAAGAGAUGAUUUAUAUAUGUUAGGCUUGGCAAUGUUAUAAAUUACUAUAAAUGGCACAUACAGGCGCAAAACCUUUAUCUACAUAUAGAGUUGACCUUUAAACACUGGAGUUUGUAUUACACUGUAAUAGUUUCAGAGUGCAGAUUAUUGGGGUUUUAUAAAUAGAUAAAGAAAUUCUCUGUAAUAUUGGUCCUACAGAAAUAGCUAUUUUUAUUCAGUGUUUCAAGGUCAGUUACAGUCUGUUCAAGACAUACCGAGAAAGGUAAUGUUACAUAAAUGCAAAAACUGCACAAAUAGACUGAUCUAAGUUAAUGCAGACACUGUAGGUGCAAGGUUUUAUUGACUUUAACAAAAUAAUGGAAAAGUGUAUACCAUAAUUUCAGAAAGUUGUAUCUUGCAAAAGACCACUUGUUUCUGCACUGUAUUUAGGACACUAAAUGAAUACAUGCACAAUUAAACUGAUUGAUUCCAAAACACGUUUUGUUAGAUAACCAUUUAAACACGCUUUCACAUGAUUGGUUAAGAAUGUAUUGGUAAUACAGCUGACAGAAGUUCCAAUAAUGAGAGAAUUUUAAAAAAACAUAAAAACAUCUGUACCUUAUGUAGGACAAUGUCUCUCCAGUGCCCUGCAUCUCUGGGACAGCAAAAAUAUAAAGAGUCUGUAAAUCAACCAAUUAGUGCUUACAGUAAUGAACAGGUAAUGCUGAAGCUGUAUCUAGAAAGUAUCAUUUCCUGAGAAUUCUAAACAAGUAAUAAAAGAAUCAUCUAUGAACAAAAGACAAAACUAAAAAACACAAUUAACGGCGUGUUCUUCGGUAUGGUCACCACUAAUACAUAUCUAAAACUACCUUAAGAUCUCUAGAUCUCUAGACUUGUGGCAGGAGUUAAGUGUUUGCCUGGAUAUUGGUACAUAAGGGGAAAUAAAAGCAGCAGGAAGAAAACCGGUUUAAGCAUUUCUGCCAAAAUGUUUUCUGUGAUACAGAUUCUGAAAAUGUUCCACACUGAUACUUCUAAUAGGUAAAAAGACUGACCUCAUUAUUUUUCAGCAUCGCUAAGAGGUCAACCGUAUGUCCCAGCAUAACCUAUACCAGUAUCAGUCCAUCCCAUAGCUAACACUAGUGCUUUGUAAAUUAAACAUCAACUCUUAAAUAACAAACUUGGCACCACGUCCAUGCCACAUCCAUUCCGCAUUCCUGAUUUGAUCGGACUUUCUCUGCUGAGAUUGUUGCCAGCAAAAUGACUCAUUUUAAUAGCCUUGUGCCAGAUAACAUUCCACUAAAUGCAAACUAGGGGUAUCUAUGUCUAAUACACAUUUACUUAUCAUUAAU